UUUUUUAAAAUUCCAAAAUACCCCUUCACAUUGCACCGCACUCUUCGCUGAGCUUCCCUGUCGCCGCGUUUCCUCCGCUUGGCAUCCGUCGCUGGUCGUCUGCCAUCACUUAUCGUAACCCUGGUGUGCUCCACUACUCGCAGAAUGCCACGCUGGUCCUCCAUCGCCAUUCCCUUCGCCUCCCUUUCGCUCACGUUCGUGAUCGCCAUUCCCUUCGCUUAUUCACACGCUUUUGUCAUCGCCGUCCCUUUCGCUGGCAUCCCGUUGCUGCGCCGUCCCCAUUGAAUUUGAUGAUUUCAGCAAGGAAAAUAUGGAUAAACUGGGACAUGGAGUUUAUGAGCCUUUGGAUGUGAAUCUCCUCCCACCUCCGCAUCUAAUCUAUGCUGAGAAUCCUAAUGAUUCUGGGAAGACAUUGGUUCGGCACCAGUUACAGACAUUGUUCUUUCAAAAUCCUUCUCGGUUCAGAAACAGACAGUUAUCAAUGUUAUUGUUAUCCUUUGUUAUUAUUGAUUCCUAUGCUGGUUCAGAGAAUGGGAGGCUGCAACACAAUAACUAAUUUUUAAAUUAUCUGUAUUACACUGAAAUUACGUUUUUUAUGAUUUUUGUUUUUAGAUUUCAAAUUUCAAUAACACAAAUUAUAGUCUUGUGGUUUUUAUGGUGUACCAUGAUAUGAUAAAGACAAAUUAUAUUCCAUGAAUCCACACAGAUGUAAAAUGUUACAUGAUCAUAAUGAAUACUUGAAUGAUAGAAACUGAAUUUUAUA